AGAGUUUGAUCCUGGCUCAGGACGAACGCUGGCGGCGUGCCUAAUACAUGCAAGUCGAGCGGACAGAUGGGAGCUUGCUCCCUGAUGUUAGCGGCGGACGGGUGAGUAACACGUGGGUAACCUGCCUGUAAGACUGGGAUAACUCCGGGAAACCGGGGCUAAUACCGGAUGGUUGUUUGAACCGCAUGGUUCAAACAUAAAAGGUGGCUUCGGCUACCACUUACAGAUGGACCCGCGGCGCAUUAGCUAGUUGGUGAGGUAACGGCUCACCAAGGCAACGAUGCGUAGCCGACCUGAGAGGGUGAUCGGCCACACUGGGACUGAGACACGGCCCAGACUCCUACGGGAGGCAGCAGUAGGGAAUCUUCCGCAAUGGACGAAAGUCUGACGGAGCAACGCCGCGUGAGUGAUGAAGGUUUUCGGAUUGUAAAGCUCUGUUGUUAGGGAAGAACAAGUACCGUUCGAAUAGGGCGGUACCUUGACGGUACCUAACCAGAAAGCCACGGCUAACUACGUGCCAGCAGCCGCGGUAAUACGUAGGUGGCAAGCGUUGUCCGGAAUUAUUGGGCGUAAAGGGCUCGCAGGCGGUUUCUUAAGUCUGAUGUGAAAGCCCCCGGCUCAACCGGGGAGGGUCAUUGGAAACUGGGGAACUUGAGUGCAGAAGAGGAGAGUGGAAUUCCACGUGUAGCGGUGAAAUGCGUAGAGAUGUGGAGGAACACCAGUGGCGAAGGCGACUCUCUGGUCUGUAACUGACGCUGAGGAGCGAAAGCGUGGGGAGCGAACAGGAUUAGAUACCCUGGUAGUCCACGCCGUAAACGAUGAGUGCUAAGUGUUAGGGGGUUUCCGCCCCUUAGUGCUGCAGCUAACGCAUUAAGCACUCCGCCUGGGGAGUACGGUCGCAAGACUGAA
rnacentral:rRNA from 1 species